GACGAACGCUGGCGGCGUGCUUAACACAUGCAAGUCGAACGGAAAGGCCUCUUUCGGGGGGUACUCGAGUGGCGAACGGGUGAGUAACACGUGAGUAUCCUGCCCUUGACUUUGGGAUAACUUCAGGAAACUGGGGCUAAUAUCGGAUAGGAGCUCCUGCUGCAUGGUGGGGGUUGGAAAGUUUUGGCGGUUGGGGGUGGACUCGCGGCUUAUCAGCUUGUUGGUGGGGUAGUGGCUUACCAAGGCUUUGACGGGUAGCCGGCCUGGGAGGGUGACCGGCCACAUUGGGACUGAGAUACGGCCCCAGCCCCUACGGGGGGCAACAGUGGGGAAUUUUGGACAAUUGGUGGGAGCCUGAUGCAGCAACGCCGGGGUCGGGAUGACGGCCUUCGGGUUGUAAACCGCUUUCGCUCAUGACGGAGCUGUGUGUGACGGUAGUGGGUAAAGAAGCACCGGCUAACUACGUG
rnacentral:rRNA from 1 species